rnacentral:rRNA from 1 species
UACGUAGGGGGCAAGCGUUGUCCGGAUUUAUUGGGCGUAAAGCGCGUGUAGGCGGCCAGGUAGGUCCGUUGUGAAAACUGGAGGCUUAACCUCCAGCUGUCGAUGGAAACCAUCUGGCUAGAGUCCGGAAGAGGAGAGUGGAAUUCCUGGUGUAGCGGUGAAAUGCGCAGAUAUCAGGAAGAACACCCGUGGCUAAGGCGGCUCUCUAGUACGGUACUGACGCUGAGACGCGAAAGCGUGGGGAGCGAACAGG